CACGUAGGGUGCGAGCGUUGUCCGGAAUUAUUGGGCGUAAAGAGCUCGUAGGCGGUGUGUCGCGUCGGCCGUGAAAACCUGCAGCUUAACUGUGGGCGUGCGGUCGAUACGGGCAUCACUGGAGUUCGGCAGGGGAGACUGGAAUUCCUGGUGUAGCGGUGAAAUGCGCAGAUAUCAGGAGGAACACCGGUGGCGAAGGCGGGUCUCUGGGCCGAUACUGACGCUGGAGACGGCGAAAGCGUGGGGAGCAAACAGG
rnacentral:rRNA from 1 species